UACAGAGGGUGCUAGCGUUGUCCGGAUUUACUGGGCGUAAAGAGCGCGCAGGCGGUCGUACAAGUCGCGUGUGAAAGCCCCUGGCUCAACUGGGGAGGGUCACGCGAUACUGUUCGACUUGAAGGCAGGAGAGGGAAGUGGAAUUCCCGGUGUAGUGGUGAAAUGCGUAGAUAUCGGGAGGAACACCAGUGGCGAAGGCGACUUCCUGGCCUGUUCUUGACGCUGAGGCGCGAAAGCUAGGGUAGCAAACGGG
rnacentral:rRNA from 1 species